AACGAACGCUGGCGGCGUGCCUAACACAUGCAAGUCGAACGGAUUUGAGGGGCUUGCUCCUCAAGUUAGUGGCGCACGGGUGAGUAACGCGUAGAUAAUCUGCCUGAUGAUCUGGGAUAACACUUCGAAAGGGGUGCUAAUACCGGAUAAGCCCACGAUGGCUUUGGUCGUUGCGGGAAAAGGGGGGGACCUUCGGGCCUUCUGUCAUCAGAUGAGUCUGCGUACCAUUAGCUAGUUGGUGGUGUAAUGGACCACCAAGGCUACGAUGGUUAGCUGGUCUGAGAGGAUGAUCAGCCACACUGGAACUGAGACACGGUCCAGACUCCUACGGGAGGCAGCAGUGGGGAAUUUUGCGCAAUGGGCGAAAGCCUGACGCAGCAACGCCGCGUGAGUGAUGAAGGCUUUCGGGUCGUAAAGCUCUGUCAAGGGGAAAGAAGUGUAUUAUGGUUAAUACCCAUGAUGCUUGACGGUACCCCUAAAGGAAGCACCGGCUAACUCCGUGCCAGCAGCCGCGGUAAUACGGAGGGUGCGAGCGUUGUUCGGAAUUAUUGGGCGUAAAGCGCGUGUAGGCGGUUUGUUAAGUCUGAUGUGAAAGCCCCGGGCUCAACCUGGGAAGUGCAUUGGAUACUGGCAGACUUGAAUACGGGAGAGGGCAGUGGAAUUCCUGGUGUAGGAGUGAAAUCCGUAGAUAUCAGGAGGAACACCGGUGGCGAAGGCGGCUGCCUGGACCGAUAUUGACGCUGAGACGCGAAAGCGUGGGUAGCAAACAGGAUUAGAUACCCUGGUAGUCCACGCCGUAAACGAUGAGUACUAGGUGUUGCGGGUAUUGACCCCUGCAGUGCCGCAGCUAACGCAUUAAGUACUCCGCCUGGGAAGUACGGUCGCAAGACUAA
rnacentral:rRNA from 1 species